CUCGCUAUAGUUUACUUUAAAACACCGACUUGCAAAAUCGAAAAUGGAAAAAAUUCCUAGCGUGU
rnacentral:tRNA from 1 species